rnacentral:rRNA from 1 species
ACUCUCAGCAACGGAUAUCUUGGCUCCUGCAACGAUGAGGAACGCAGCGAAAUGCGAUACGUAGUGUGAAUUGCAGAAUUCCGCGAAUCAUCGAGUUUUUGAACGCAAGUUGCGCCCGAGGCUUGUCCGAGGGCAUUUCCGCUAGAGCGUCA